rnacentral:rRNA from 1 species
AUUGAACGCUGGCGGCAGGCUUAACACAUGCACGUCGAGCGAGCGGCGGACGGGUGAGCAAUGUCUGGGAAACUGCCUGAGGGAGGGGGAUAACUACUGGAAACGGUAGCUAAUACCGCAUACCAUCAGAUGUGCCCAGAUGGGAGUAGCUAGUAGGUGGGGUAAUGGCCCACCUAGGCGCCGAUCCCUAGCUGGUCUGAGAGGAUGACCAGCCACACGUGAACUGAAACACGGUCCAGACUCCUAGGGGAGGCAGCAGUGGGGAAUAUGGCACAAGGGGCGCAAGCCUGAUGAAGCCAUGCCGCGUGUGUGAAGAAGGCCUUCGGGUUGUAAAGCCCUUUCAGCGAGGAGGCGUUACUCGCAGAAGAUGCACCGGCUAACUCCGUGCCAGCAGCCGCGGUAAAC